rnacentral:rRNA from 1 species
GUCCAGACUCCUACGGGAGGCAGCAGUGGGGAAUAUUGCACAAUGGGGGAAACCCUGAUGCAGCAACGCCGCGUGAAGGAAGACGGUUUUCGGAUUGUAAACUUCUGUUCUUAGUGAAGAAUAAUGACGGUAGCUAAGGAGCAAGCCACGGCUAACUACGUGCCAGCAGCCGCGGUAAUACGUAGGUGGCAAGCGUUGUCCGGAAUUACUGGGUGUAAAGGGAGCGCAGGCGGGAAGCCAAGUCAGCUGUGAAAACUACGGGCUUAACUUGUAGACUGCAGUUGAAACUGGUUUUCUUGAGUGAAGUAGAGGUUGGCGGAAUUCCGAGUGUAGCGGUGAAAUGCGUAGAUAUCAGGAGGAACACCGGUGGCGAAGGCGGCCUGCUGGACUGCGACUGACGUUGAGGCCCGAAAGCGUGGGGAGCAAACAGGAUUAGAUACCCGGGUAGA